rnacentral:rRNA from 1 species
AUUGAACGCUGGCGGUAUGCUUAACACAUGCAAGUCGAACGGUAACAGGCCUUCGGGCGCUGACGAGUGGCGGACGGUGAGUAACGCGUAGGAAUCUGCCUCAUAGUGGGGGACAACGUGGGGAAACUCACGCUAAUACCGCAUACGCCCUACGGGGGAAAGCGGGGGAUCUUCGGACCUCGCGCUAUGAGAUGAGCCUGCGUUAGAUUAGCUAGUUGGUAGGGUAAAGGCCUACCAAGGCGACGAUCUAUAGCUGGUCUGAGAGGACGAUCAGCCACACUGGGACUGAGACACGGCCCAGACUCCUACGGGAGGCAGCAGUGGGGAAUAUUGGACAAUGGGCGCAAGCCUGAUCCAGCAAUACCGCGUGUGUGAAGAAGGCCUUAGGGUUGUAAAGCACUUUCAAUUGGGAGGAAAACCUGCCGGUCAAUACCCGGUAGCUUGACAUUACCUUUAGAAGAAGCACCGGCUAACUCCGUGCCAGCAGCCG